AUAUAUAUAUAAGAAAUAAUUAAGAUUCAGUUGAAUUAAGUACUUAAGUUCAGGCACCAAGUCAGUCUGGUAUUAUCUGCACAGCUUGAAGUAAGGUGAAUAAAAAGCAAAUUGGGAACAAGGAUGUCAAUAUGGUUGUUUCAGGUGGCUCCAUUUAAUUGAACAAUGCAAACAUUACAUUAAUUUGAAAGAUGGUGGUGUAUUUCAAAUUGAUGUAAUGCUUGCAUCGUUCAAUUGAAUGGAGCUACCUGAAACGGCCGUAUGGCAUUAAUACCUUGACAUCCUUGUUACUUAUUUGUGUUUUAUAUAUAUAUAUAUAUAUAUGUGUGUGUGUGUAUUGUCAUCAUCAUUUAAUGUCGUCUAUGCUGGCAUGGGUUGGACGGUUUGAUCAAAGCUGGCAAGCUGGUGAGCUGUACCUGGUUCCAGUCUGAUUUAGCAUGGUUUCUAUGGCUGGAUGCCCUUCUAACAUCAACUACGUUACAGAGUAUGCUGGGUGCCUUUAUGUGGCAUCACACAAACACUUUUAUUGCAUAGACUUUCACAGGAGAAUAGGCUGAGGGAUACUACAAAAUUGUUGAUGCUGUUGCUGUUAUUGUUAAUACAGCAGAUGUUUUGCAGUUGAAUUACGUUCCUCAUAAUGAUUUAAGCAGGAAAUGAAAGUGUUUGUACACAGCGUAUGUGUAUGCGUGUGCGUACAAGGUGUGUGUAUGUGUGUGUGUAGAAAGGAGAAGAAUUAUCACUGAUAAACUGCAACUAAUCAAGCUUAUAUAUAUAACAUUAUUAUUUAAUUUAAAUUUAUUAUACUUUCGAGGUUGUCUCCCCUGCUUCCCAUUUUUUAACCAGAGUUUGUCAUUAAAAUUCAGAUUAAUGGGGUUGUCUCCCUUGACUCCAUUGUUUUUUUUUUUCUUUUUCAUCAUUAAAGGUGUUAUAGUAAUUAAAAUUUCUCAGUUUACCACACCAUGUAUGCUAUCAUCCACGUUUCUAUUGAUUAUUUAUCUUGAUCAAACUUUACUAAACCACUGAACCAGGAAACUUAUGUUGUUAGUAUUUAACCCCAGUGAGUAGACCGUCUGAUCAAAGACAAACGAUCUGUAACACUUUUACUCUCUCACACACACACACACACUCUCUCUCUCUCUCUCUCUCUCUCUCUCUCGUUUCAAACGAUGUCUGAAAUAUUGAACUACAUAGUCUAUAUUUGUGAUUUUUUCUAAAGAAGGCAGAGUAUGAAUUAUGUGUGUGUGUGUGUUGAUUAUUGGUGAACAAAAAUAUUGGAUACUGAUUUUCAACUUGCCAAUAUGUUUUGGCGGCUGAUGUGACAAGGAAGUGCAUGUAACUCACAACAGAACAAACAUCAUAACUGACUUUAUUAAAAAAAAAA